AGCAGCCGCGGUAAUUCCAGCUCCAAUAGCGUAUAUUAAAGUUGUUGCAGUUAAAAAGCUCGUAGUUGAAUUUCGGGGUUAGUAGGUUGGUCAUGCCUCUGGUAUGUACUGAUCUCACUGAUUCCUCCUUCCUGAUGAACCGUAAUGCCAUUAAUUUGGUGUUGCGGGGAAACUGGACUGUUACUUUGAAAAAAUUGAGUGUUUAAAGCAAGCUAACGCUUGAAUACAUUAGCGUGGAAUAAUGAAAUAGGACGUUCGAUCCUAUUUUGUUGGUUUCUAGGAUUGACGUAAUGAUUAAUAGGGAUAGUUGGGGGCAUUAGUAUUCAAUUGUCAGAGGUGAAAUUCUUGGAUUUAUUGAAGACUAACUACUGCGAAAGCAUUUGCCAAGGAUGUUUCAUUAAUCAAGAACGAAGUUAGGGAUCGAAGACGAUCAGAUACCGUCGUAGUCUUAACCAUAAACUAUG
rnacentral:rRNA from 1 species